rnacentral:rRNA from 1 species
UACGUAGGGACCAAGCGUUGUUCGGAUUUACUGGGCGUAAAGGGCGCGUAGGCGGAUCUUUAAGUCGGGGGUGAAAGCCCAGGGCUCAACCCUGGAAUUGCCUUCGAUACUGAAGAUCUUGAGACCGGAAGAGGUUAGUGGAACUGCGAGUGUAGAGGUGAAAUUCGUAGAUAUUCGCAAGAACACCAGUGGCGAAGGCGGCUAACUGGUCCGGUUCUGACGCUGAGGCGCGAAAGCGUGGGGAGCAAACAGG